rnacentral:rRNA from 1 species
GACGAACGCUGGCGGCGUGCUUAACACAUGCAAGUCGAACGGAAAGGCCCCUUUGGGGGUACUCGAGUGGCGAACGGGUGAGUAACACGUGAGUAACCUGCCCUUGACUUCGGGAUAACUUCAGGAAACUGGGGCUAAUACCGGAUAGGAAUCCUUGCUGCAUGGGGGGGGUUGGAAAGCUUCGGCGGGUAUGGGUGGACUGGCGGCGUAUCAGCUUGCUGGUGUGGUUGUGGCUUACCAAGGCUUGGAAGUGUAGCAGGCCUGAGAGGGCGACCGGCCACCUUGAGACUGAGAGACGGCCCAGACUCCUACGGGAGGGAGCAGUGGGGAAGAUUGACGAAGGGGCGGAGGCCGGAUGCAGAAACGCCGCGGGCGGGAUGACGGCGUUCUGGUUGUAAACCGCAUGCAGCAGGGGCGAAGCUUGUGGUGACGGUACCUGCAGAAGAAGCACCGGCUAACUACGUG